rnacentral:misc_RNA from 1 species
AAUCUUCAAGAAUGUUCAGAUCACUAGGUUCUAAUCUGCUGAUCUUUAACACUUUCCAGAACGUUCGGUUCUUGUCUCUUCCAAUCAGAUAAAAAUUCGAACGCGUCUCAUAUAGCCUGAAUUUCUGCAAGCAGUGAGAAUUGGGAUCAGGUUUAUCAUGAAUCCAGCUUUGCUGCUCAGUCUCCGCACCCAUAGUGUCGAUCUCCGAGCCUCAAGGCCCGGCCUCACCACCAAAAACCAAAAUCUCAACUACGCAAAACUCAAAUUCAACAGCGAACCUCCCUCGCUGCAGAAAAAUUCUCAAAAACCUCAAUCAGAAAAACACUAGUCACACAUCUACCCUCGCAAGACGAAGGCGAAAGAGAAAAUGCUCAAGAGCAGUAGAGGCCAUAAGAAUCAAAGAACCAAAAGAAGAACAGAACAACAUCCAA